ACAUGCAAGUCGAACGAUGAAGCCCAGCUUGCUGGGUGGAUUAGUGGCGAACGGGUGAGUAACACGUGAGUAACCUGCCCCCGACUCUGGGAUAAGCCCGGGAAACUGGGUCUAAUACCGGAUAUGACUUCGCACCGCAUGGUGUGGGGUGGAAAGAUUUAUCGGUGGGGGAUGGACUCGCGGCCUAUCAGCUUGUUGGUGAGGUAAUGGCUCACCAAGGCGACGACGGGUAGCCGGCCUGAGAGGGUGACCGGCCACACUGGGACUGAGACACGGCCCAGACUCCUACGGGAGGCAGCAGUGGGGAAUAUUGCACAAUGGGCGAAAGCCUGAUGCAGCGACGCCGCGUGAGGGAUGACGGCCUUCGGGUUGUAAACCUCUUUCAGUAGGGAAGAAGCGAAAGUGACGGUACCUGCAGAAGAAGCGCCGGCUAACUACGUGCCAGCAGCCGCGGUAAUACGUAGGGCGCAAGCGUUAUCCGGAUUUAUUGGGCGUAAAGAGCUCGUAGGCGGUUUGUCGCGUCUGCCGUGAAAGUCCGAGGCUCAACCUCGGAUCUGCGGUGGGUACGGGCAGACUAGAGUGAUGUAGGGGAGACUGGAAUUCCUGGUGUAGCGGUGAAAUGCGCAGAUAUCAGGAGGAACACCGAUGGCGAAGGCAGGUCUCUGGGCAUUUACUGACGCUGAGGAGCGAAAGCAUGGGGAGCGAACAGGAUUAGAUACCCUGGUAGUCCAUGCCGUAAACGUUGGGCACUAGGUGUGGGGGACAUUCCACGUUUUCCGCGCCGUAGCUAACGCAUUAAGUGCCCCGCCUGGGGAGUACGGCCGCAAGGCUAAAACUCAAAGGAAUUGACGGGGGCCCGCACAAGCGGCGGAGCAUGCGGAUUAAUUCGAUGCAACGCGAAGAACCUUACCAAGGCUUGACAUGUGCCAGACCGCUCCAGAAGAUGGGGUUUCCCUUCGGGGCUGGUUCACAGGUGGUGCAUGGUUGUCGUCAGCUCGUGUCGUGAGAUGUUGGGUUAAGUCCCGCAACGAGCGCAACCCUCGU
rnacentral:rRNA from 1 species